rnacentral:rRNA from 1 species
AUUGAACGCUGGCUGCAGGCCUAACACAUGCAAGUCGAACGAGUGGCGGACGGGUGAGUAAUGUCUGGGAAACUGCCUGAUGGAAGGGGAUAACUACUGGAAACGGUAGCUAAUACCGCAUACCAUCAGAUGUACCCAGAUGGGAUUAGCUUGUUGGUGGGUUAACGGUUCACCAAGGCGACGAUCCAUAGCUGGUCUGAGAGGAUGACCAGCAACACUGGAACUGAGACACGGUCCAGAUUCCGACGGGAGGCAGCAGUGGGGAAUAUUGCACAAUGGGCGGAAGCCUGAUGCAGCCAUGCCGCGUGUAUGAAGAAGGUCUUCGGGUUGUAAAGUACUUUCAGCGGGGAGGCGUUAACCGCAGAAGAAGCACCGGCUAACUCCGUGCCAGCAGCCGCGGUAAUUC